GGGGAAGAGAGAGUCAAGAGGACCUGAGAGAUACAAGUUUAUAUAAAGAGGAGAGCAGACAGCCACUCCCAGAUACUUACUUAUGAUCACUGCAAGCUCAGGCUGCCUGCCAGCAGCAAGCUUUGGGGAGUGAUUGGGGCUUGCAUUUUAAAAAAAGUUGUGAAGGGAAAUAUGGAGCAGCGGAUUAGUCCCUGCAUGCUGAAGAUGCUGUUGUCUGCCAGCAAGUGCUGCCUUUCCUUUGCCCCAGGAAGGCCGGGAAUGGAGUGAGUCGGGCCUCUUCGUAUGGAGGACUAAUGCUGGUGUUGACCAGGAAGUGCCAGAAAAGACCAGGCACUGACAAAGAGAGACGAAUAAAGGAGAAGCCUCAUGUGAAAGGACAAUUCAUGUUUCUAUACUAAUGGCCUCUCCAGACUGUUUUUUUAUUGUUGUGUUCCUUUGAGGCUGUAUUCUGCAGUAUGUCAUUUGUGCAAUAAUAGUGGAUUUAUACUGGACUGUCCAUACAUCAUUCCACUUUGUUGGUUGUUCUGUGAUGCUUUCCCACUCUUAGCACAUUAUUACCAUCUGGAGGGGCACUCAUGAGCUAUAGUGCAACAAAAGCAGGAUAACACACCCAAACAUUUGUGGUAUCAGGGCCGGCACCAAAAGGUGGCCAGGAUGGGCCCUGGCCGAGGGCACCUCAAGGACCCCUUGUUAGGGUGGAAGAGUAGUGCUCCCCUUCCGCAAUCUGUGGCAGGCUCCCUGCUGCGGAUCGCAGGAAGGGAGCUUCCAGGCAGCCCGCCCAUUUGCUUGCUCCACCUACCUCUCUCCUGUCUUUGCUGCUGUGAGUGCUGCGUGCGCAGGCUUUCCAUCUACAAAGAUGGCGGUGGAGGCUUCUUUAAGGGGCUGAUGCCCCUACCACCAUCUUGGUUGAUGGCAGGCAUGUGCCUGCCAUCUGUGAGAAAUAGGUCAUACUCUUUUUUUCAGGUUUAUCCUGAAAGCACCUGUGACUCAACAAUAGUUGAGGAUGGCUUCAAGGUUCAGCUGGAAACCUUUGAGGAGAUAUUUAAAUGAGAGUUCUUUUGUCCUAUUUUAACUUGAUGUGCCAUUUCAGCUGAUUUAAAAUUUCCAACUAGAUACUUUAGGAGACACUGCUUUCCAGGGCAUACAUGCUUGUGGUUAACUCAAGGCUUUCGUUUACUAGGUAACCUUGCUUUUAAGAUUUUGGACUGAAAUACCCAACAGCUUUAAUUAUACAAGGAAGGGGAACAGAGAUGCUCUUCAUGCUUCUCUUUAAGACACCCAGCCCAAAGCUGAUAGCAAAAACCUGUUUUGACAGGGCACUGGAGAACUUGGGAUUUCAGCUAGUAAUAGAAAUGAAAGGGAGUUUAUGUCCAAAUUAAAGUGUCCUAUAAUUGAAGGCAGAAAUAGAGAAACUGUGGGCCUCUAGAUUGCUGAACUACAACUCCCAUCAUCCCACCCUGUUAGCCACACUGUCUGGGGCUGAUGGAAGUUGGAGUCCAACAUCAUCUGGAGGGUGUAUGAAUGAGAGUAAAGAAGCCCCAACGGCUGUUUUAUUUAAUAAAAAGUUUCUACAGGAGUCAUUUUGAGUUGAGAAGUGCAGGAGGGGAGGGGAAUAUGUAACCUUUUCCUUGCUGGACUUUUUUCUACUCCAACACCCCCUCCCCCAAUCAGCUGCUUUUUUCCUCCUGCCAGGUUCCAGAAAUAUAUUUGUUUAUCCUUGGAAACCCAUGUCUAUAACCCCAUGUGUCUGAAAGGAGGAGAGGCCAAGCUGGGAGUGUGAUUUAAUUUGGAAUAUAAAAUAUUCAAUGGGUAAACUGUUUUUAAUUAAAUCAGGUAUGUGCA